UACAGAGGGGGCAAGCGUUAUUCGGAAUUAUUGGGCGUAAAGGGCGCGUAGGCGGCUUGGCAAGUGGAAGGUGAAAUCCCUCGGCUUAACCGAGGAACUGCCCUCCAAACUGCUUGGCUUGAGUCCGGGAGAGGAAGGUGGAAUUCCCGGUGUAGCGGUGAAAUGUGUAGAGAUCGGGAGGAACACCGGUGGCGAAGGCGGCCUUCUGGACGGUGACUGACGCUGAGGCGCGAAAGCGUGGGGAGCAAACAGG
rnacentral:rRNA from 1 species